GGAAGCCGGUGAGAUUCCGGCGCGGCCGCGCCACUGUGACCGCCUGUGGGGAUUUCCCUCAAGGGCGGAAGCCAGAC
rnacentral:ncRNA from 2 species